UACGGGAGGCAGCAGUGGGGAAUUUUGGACAAUGGGCGCAAGCCUGAUCCAGCCAUGCCGCGUGUCUGAAGAAGGCCUUCGGGUUGUAAAGGACUUUUGUCAGGGAAGAAAAGGCUGUUGCUAAUACCGACAGCUGAUGACGGUACCUGAAGAAUAAGCACCGGCUAACUACGUGCCAGCAGCCGCGGUAAUACGUAGGGUGCGAGCGUUAAUCGGAAUUACUGGGCGUAAAGCGAGCGCAGACGGUUACUUAAGCAGGAUGUGAAAUCCCCGGGCUCAACCUGGGAACUGCGUUCUGAACUGGGUGACUAGAGUGUGUCAGAGGGAGGUAGAAUUCCACGUGUAGCAGUGAAAUGCGUAGAGAUGUGGAGGAAUACCGAUGGCGAAGGCAGCCUCCUGGGAUAACACUGACGUUCAUGCUCGAAAGCGUGGGUAGCAAACAGGACUAGAUACCCUGGUAGUCCACGCCCUAAACGAUGUCGAAUUAGCUGUUGGGCAACUUGAUUGCUUAGUAGCGUAGCUAACGCGUGAAAUUGACCGCCUGGGG
rnacentral:rRNA from 1 species